CUGGGGGCAGUGGGCAAGCAGAGGACCAGCGAAACAAGUUCUCAAGAGGAGUUUUAUGUGGCUGAUUGUGCAUAGACACAAGCAUGUUUUCCAAGAGAUGCCAGCAAAUGCGGAACUGGGUGACAUGCUCUGGAUUUGCCCGUAAAAGUCUUUAUCAUCUUGGGAGAUGCUACCCUUGGCCAUUGCAGUCACUGUACCCAACAGGUCUGAGAGCUGGAAAUGUUGCGGGAAAGGGGACCCUACUUCCAAGGCCCGAGACUUGGACUCCUGUCUAACAUUUGGAAAUGAACUGUCUGAGGAGACACACGUGCUAACAAAGGAAGAGACGUGAUUGGGAAGGGGUGCCCGGGCAGAGAGCAGUAGGGGAAGGGAACCCAGGAGAACUGCUUUGCCUCGUGGCUCACAAUCUCGGGUUUUAUGGUGAUGGGAUUAGUUUCUGGAUUGCCUUUGACCAAUCGUUCUCACUCAGGGUUCUUCCUGGUGGUGUGUGCAUGGCUUAGCCAAGAUGGAUGCUAGUAAGAAGGAUUCUGGGAGGUGGUCAGACACAUGGUAUCUCCUUUUGACCUUUCCUAAACUCUUCCUGUUGGUGGUGGCUUCUUAGUUCUGUGUUCCUUGCCAGGACCUACUGUCGUAAAAUAACUCACGAAAAUGGUUACUCUGGUGCCUGGCCAGGGUGGGUGAAUUCAGUCAGUGUGUGUCCCCUAACAGAAAUACCUGGGAGUUUGCAACCUGCUGGGGUGGCCCUUUGCCAGUGACUGAUUGGAGUGAACAGUCUGAACACUCAGCUCCCUGGCCUUGAGUGUGGAUGAGCUCAGGUGUAAUUUCUACUCCAGAGCCUCCUGUGGGAUCAGGCUGAGGCUGGACUUUGCCUGAAAUUGCACCCUCGCUCGCCUUCUUCCCCUUCCUUAUCUUGCU